rnacentral:lncRNA from 1 species
UUCUGUUUAAGGGACUUGUAUACAGACUGUAUAAAGAACUCUUAUGACACAAAUUUUUUAAAUAACUUAAUUUAAAUGGGCAAAAGAUUUCAUAUUUGAUAGAUAUUUUGUGUCUCUUCUUUAAAGAAGAGAUACAAAUGGCCGAUAAGCACAAAGGUAUUACACAGUUUAAAAAACUACCCAAAGAAAUGUCUCAACUGUUUUUGUGGUGAACUCUUUAAGAAAAAGCCACUUAUGAAUUUGCCCUAGAAAAUAACAAAGGUAUCGAAUUGUAGUAGAUUUUACUAAAGGCCUGAGACCACUCUCUCUGGGAAAUACAUUAACUUUAGAAUCAACAAAAAACUGACUCUUUCCCUGUUUAAGGGUUAGUAUGUAAAUGUAUG